GCACUGUUGGUGUAGUGGCAACAUACGUGCUCACUUCGUUUUAAACAAAUCGAGCAGUCCGGGGUUCGAUUCCCCGACGGUGCC